CAAACAAGCAUAUAAGUAACAGGUUCUAUCACCCACUCAUUGAGUAGCUGAUGGCUUGUCACCUGUAACCCUGCCCGGAACAUGUUAGAUAUUCCGGGCAGGUUGGGCACUCGGAACUCGCCACGGCAGCGGUUGGCAGCGACAGAGCGUCGGCAUCGGGCGCUGCGCGUGAGAGCGUGGUACUUCCCCGGUCGAGCCUGCCCCGAGUGUGCUGUGACAAGUACCAGGGCUUAGCACAGCGUGGCUCUCCCACUAUAAUAGGUAUAAUGUCAUAUAGACACAAAAAGAUAAAUUGACUGCUUCAUACAAGAAACGAAUAAGAAGAGACUGGAUGGUAUGUUGGCUGACAGAGAGAAAUACCUGAUUUGGAAACAGGGCAGGAGAAGAAGAAUGUCAUUAAGACGUAGGGUAAGUUGUAUAACAAACUAACUUCCGCCCGUGAUUUCGCUCGCGUCCCGGGAUAACUGCUUCCCGUAGCGUGAUGGUACCAAGAACCAUCCUACUUCAUUUCCUCCCCUCUCAUUUUCAGCUUAAACAAUACAGCCAUUCGUGAGAUAUAGGUAGUGUAAAUAACACGAUUUUCUUUUAUACACUAGAAUAUUUUUUAACCAGUGCGUAAACUUUGACAAAUUGUAGUUAAACAAGUUUUAAAGAAACGUAUACUUUUACUUUGAUAGAAUAGAAUUAUUUAUUUGCAUAAAAUGUAAGUAAUUUAACAAUUAGGUAUUACAAUUUUAAUUGACCCGUGUACAUUCUGCCUUGAUGUUUAAGUACAUUAAAAAAAGUUAUCUAUAAUAAAAAAAUUGUUUAUUUGAAUUGAUUUUAUUUUUUGACCGGUCAGCGCGAUUACGUCAUACUACGUAAUUCUUUUAGGUACCUUUUGGAAGCAAGCUGGUCACUACCACCUGCUGACCUCCCGUGCAGCGACUAAACAUACAUAUAUACACACAUAGUACAUGGGUCUGGCUUGAAAGAUUUUAGCGCGGAAAAAAAACAAACAUUGCAGAUGUUCUGUUUCUGAUUCUGAACCACACAUUUUUUUUGCGCACUGUGUAAAAAAUAUCCUGUGUAUAAAAUCUUGGCACGUAUAGAAACAACUCAAAGAUUGGACCCCUACACCAAUAUGUUAUUGUCGUAAGACCAUAAGCGCCUAAUUAUCGUUACUGACUUACAACAGAAAACCGAAGCUUGCCAUUUACUUCCGUGGACAAAAUAAAAAGGUGACAAACGUGAUAAGUGACCAAUCAGAUCAGCCACUCACAGAGUGGCUGAUGGCUUAUCACCUGUAACCCUCCCCGGAACAUGUUAGAUAUUCCGGGCAGGUUGGGCACUCGGAACUCGUCACGGCAGCGGUUGGCAGCGACAGAGCGUCGGCAUCGGGCGCUGCGCGUGAGAGCGUGGUACUUCCCCGGUCGAGCCUGCCCCGAGUGUGCUGUGACAAGUACCAGGGCUUAGCACAGCGUGGCUCUCCCACUAUAAUAUGUAUAAUGUCAU
rnacentral:lncRNA from 1 species